rnacentral:rRNA from 1 species
GAUGAACGCUGGCGGCGUGCCUAAUACAUGCAAGUAGAACGCUGAAGGAGGAGCUUGCUCUUCUGGAUGAGUUGCGAACGGGUGAGUAACGCGUAGGUAACCUGCCUGGUAGCGGGGGAUAACUAUUGGAAACGAUAGCUAAUACCGCAUGACAACAGUUAUUGCAUGAUAAUUGUUUAAAAGGGGCAACUGCUCCACUACCAGAUGGACCUGCGUUGUAUUAGCUAGUUGGUGAGGUAACGGCUCACCAAGGCGACGAUACAUAGCCGACCUGAGAGGGUGAUCGGCCACACUGGGACUGAGACACGGCCCAGACUCCUACGGGAGGCAGCAGUAGGGAAUCUUCGGCAAUGGACGGAAGUCUGACCGAGCAACGCCGCGUGAGUGAAGAAGGUUUUCGGAUCGUAAAGCUCUGUUGUAAGAGAAGAACGAGUGUGAGAGUGGAAAGUUCACACUGUGACGGUAUCUUACCAGAAAGGGACGGCUAACUACGUG